AUCUUGUUUACCAGGUUUACUUUAUGAUUGUUUACUUAGAAAAAAUGUUUAUUUAUUAGCAUACUAAUAAUCAUAUGCUAAUAAUAAACACCAGAUUGGGAAUGUACAGUGUUCAUUUUUUUCUACUGUCCCUGAAAGAAUAGAGAAAGUGCCUUUUUUCCAAUGGAGAUAUAUUGCUUAUUUGAAAAAUAGGCAAUCACUAUUAACAACUAUGCAUUUUAAAUUCAAAAUUCUUAGUUUGGUGUAUAUUUAUAUGGUCGUCAAUUAUAUAAUUUUUUUCUUUGUAAACUAUAAAAAAUUUUCUUUUUAUUUCAGCAUUCUGUACAGUAUGCCUGUUAGAAGGAAAUUCCUUACAAGCUGUUGGUCAUAAGAAAACUUGAACAGUACUUUAGACUUACAAAGAAAGCUUUUCAAACUGUUCCUCUAUGCAGUUUUCGUUGUGUAUUGGUUUAUUUGUGGUGAAUGUGGACUCUACAGUGUUGUUGUUCCAGAAUUAUUCUUUCCAAUUCAUCAACUACAUUGGACAGGUUGUGUCUUGAAAUAGACGCCAGGUCGCCAUUUUACUAUGGAUAUACCGGAAGUCCGCCAUCUUUUGAUUAUUUUCCGCAGAUGGAUCAUUUGACCAGGAACAUUUUUUAUUGGAAACAUUUCUUCCAAUUUCAACAGCAAGACCGCCAGAGAGCAAGACGCGCUUUAAUGGACUACCUUGUGGAUGUUAGAAGAACUGCAGAUGCCAUUAAAUUGUGGAGCAUUGAUUGUGUCAGUUCUCAUUGGUUCCAAAAAGUAACUGUUUCUAUGAUCAUUAAGAAAGCAUGCAAGUGCCUUUUUCCAUUGGGAACAGAGACAAUGUGCUGAACAAGUGUGUUGCUGAAGGAGAGAUUUGUGACAAUGAAGUGAUUAUCCAACAAAGGAGAAGGAAUUAGAGUUAAUUACUGGAACAAUCGAUAAAUUCGUCGUCUUCACCUUGCAACAUUAUGCAGUUAAUGUUUGCUUUAACAAUGGGAGGCAAUCGGAAGGUAAUUUGGAAGCAUCUGAAACAACAAACUGCCUGCAGUUGUAUCCCUCCUAGGUUUGGUUUCCUCAUCACGCUGGUAGACUUUAAAACGUUACUUUCUACAAUUAAUUAAGGUUAUCCAAUAAAUGAGAGAGAAUUAAUGUUCAGUUUGGUUACACUGAAACAGCCAAUGUCUACAUGGGUGUGGUCUUUCCUGGAUUAUGUUUUUGAUUUGCUGUUUCUUCUUCACCUUGUAGCAUCAUGCAGUUAAUUUUCAACCCAUGAGUGAGAGCAACUGGAUAUUUAAAUUCCACUGAAAUAACAAGUUCUCUGCUACGCUGUCCCUCCUGGAGUUGGUUUGCUUUUCACACCUGUAAACUUUGGAAUUUGACGUUCUACAAUUAAUUAAGAUCGACGCUGGAGAAGACAAAGAU